rfam:Oryza glumipatula chromosome 1, whole genome shotgun sequence.
AAUAAAUGUAGUUUUAUACUAUUUACAUUCAACGUUUAAUCAUUCGUCUUAUUUAAAAUUUUUUUAUGAUUAGUAUUUUUAAUGCUAUUAGAUGAUAAAACAUGAAUAAUACUUUAUGUGUGACUAAAUAUUUUCAAUUUUUUUAUAAAUUUUUCAAAUAUAAUGGACAGUCAAAUGCUGGACACGGAUAUUUACAGCUACACUUAUU